UGAGGAAAUGUGAAGAUUGCUGUGAAAACAGGGAAGAAGCCCCAGAAGACAGCAAUGAAGAACAGCAAUCCUGCCUGCAGUAUGUGAUACCAGAUUGAACUGUGAUGGAUCCUUCAAGUAUGUUGCCACUGAUUCUUCCGCCGAGGAGGCUAAGGAGAGUGGUUUUCCCACUACCAGAGGGUCCCAUCAGAGCAAGAACCUCUCCAGGGCUUGCUGAACCUGUAAUGCCGUGAAGGAUAUCUUUCUCAGUGCUUGUUGUUACACCUUUGAGGAUAACCUUGUAUCUAACCUCUGUAAACUGCAAGAUUGAUGAAAGAAGUGGCAAUAGAAAAGCCUUUUAGUUGGUA